rnacentral:rRNA from 1 species
AUUGAACGCUGGCGGCAUGCCUUACACAUGCAAGUCGAACGGCAGCACGGGGCAACCUGGUGGCGAGUGGCGAACGGGUGAGUAAUGCAUCGGAACGUGCCAUUGAGUGGGGGAUAACGUAGCGAAAGUUGCGCUAAUACCGCAUAUUCUGUGAGCAGGAAAGCAGGGGACCGCAAGGCCUUGCGCUCUUUGAGCGGCCGAUGUCAGAUUAGCUAGUUGGUGAGGUGACGGCUUACCAAGGCGACGAUCUGUAGCGGGUCUGAGAGGAUGAUCCGCCACACUGGAACUGAGACACGGUCCAGACUCCUACGGGAGGCAGCAGUGGGGAAUUUUGGACAAUGGGCGCAAGCCUGAUCCAGCCAUGCCGCGUGAGUGAAGAAGGCCU